rnacentral:rRNA from 1 species
AUUGAACGCUGGCGGCAUGCCUUACACAUGCAAGUCGAACGGCAGCACGGGAGCUUGCUCCUGGUGGCGAGUGGCGAACGGGUGAGUAAUGCAUCGGAACGUGCCCUGAAGUGGGGGGAUAACGUAGCGAAAGUUACGCUAAUACCGCAUAUUCUGUGAGCAGGAAAGCAGGGGAUCUUCGGACCUUGCGCUUUUGGAGCGGCCGAUGUCGGAUUAGCUAGUUGGUGGGGUAAAGGCCCACCAAGGCGACGAUCCGUAGCGGGUCUGAGAGGAUGAUCCGCCACACUGGAACUGAGACACGGUCCAGACUCCUACGGAGGCAGCAGUGGGGGAAUUUUUGGGACAACGGGCGCAAGCCUGAUCCAGCCAUGCCGCGUGAGUGAAGAAGGCCUCGGUUGUAAGGA